GAUGAACGCUAGCUACAGGCCUAACACAUGCAAGUCGCGGGGCAGCAUGGGGCGUGCUUGCAACCCCUGACGCCGACCCGCGCACGGGUGACUACCGCGUAUCCACCCUGCCCUUCACCACGGGAUAAUCCGGCGAAAGUCCGACUAAUAACGUGAGUUCUCCAUUUACUGCUUCCGACUGCGACGGAGAGCUUUGCGCAUGCAGCCUGGGGAUGCGUUCGAUUAGCUUGACGGCGCGGUAACGGCACACCGUGGCUACGAUCGGUAGGGGUUCUGAGAGGAAGGUCCCCCACACUGGAACUGAGACACGGACCAGACUCCUACGGGAGGCAGCAGUGAGGAAUAUUGGUCAAUGGGCGGAAGACUGAACCAGCCAAGUAGCGUGCAGGAUGACGGCCCUAUGGGUUGUAAACUGCUUUUAUGUGGGGAGAAAGUGGCGUACGUGUAGGCUGUUGCAGGUACCACAUGAAUAAGCACCGGCUAAUUCCGUG
rnacentral:rRNA from 1 species